rnacentral:snRNA from 1 species
GUACCAGGUAUAUUGCUAGCCCCCCAAUGGCUGCAUUGAUUGCCAGGGUUGAUUCGGCUGUUUGGGCCAGCUAGGUGGGUGUCUCCUUCCUUCCUUAGCACUCCAUGUCUAUCUCUCCCAAAGCUGCAUGCUCAAUCAAAGUGGACAACCUUCCCCGCAUAGAGGAGGACCGAUCUUCAGUCAAGGGUAUAUAUAUAUAUAGUAGCUAUGUUCCCUUGCCAGAACCUACAAACAAGCUCCCAAGGUCUAUUUAUUCUAUUUCCAUGAUGACUAGCAACAAGAUUUUCACUGAGAUUGCAUUGAUUCU